GGUAGUAACACGUGGAUAACCUACCUAUAGGACUGGGAUAACUUCGGGAAACCGGAGCUAAUACCGGAUAAUAUAUUGAACCGCAUUGUUCAAUAGUGAAAGACGGUUUUGCUGUCACUUAUAGAUGGAUCCGCGCCGCAUUAGCUAGUUGGUAAGGUAACGGUUUACCAAGGCAACGAUGCGUAGCCGACCUGAGAGGGUGAUCGGCCACACUGGAACUGAGACACGGUCCAGACUCCUACGGGAGGCAGCAGGG
rnacentral:rRNA from 1 species